UAAUAAUAAUAAUAAUAACUUUUAAUAUUUAUGAUGCAUAAAGACAUGCAUACGCUUUAAAUACGCUUGCUGUAUCAUAGCAAGAAGAUAUUUAUGAAAUCAUUUUUAUAUAUUGCCCCAAGUGGUCUGUCAGUGAACUGCAGUUUAACCCCUGGUAUUUACGGGUGCAUAUGGUGUAAUUAAUUUUUUUCCAUUAGAGAUGGUUGUUUAUAUCUGCAUUAACUGUUAGUUUCUUUUUUCCAGCUUCAUGUAAACUUCAGUGCACAAAAUCCUAAAUUCUUGAAUAUUUUGAUAAUUUGUGGGAAUUGCAUAUUCAUAUCUGAAUGAUUUUUAAGUUAUGUUAUUAGUUAGCUUAGCUUAAAGUCUGGAAGCGGUCUCUCUGUUCGAAGUUUUGUUUGGGCAGAAACUAAACUGAUUGUAGGGAAAGGGGGGAAUUCAGGGAAUCUUCGGGAAGUCACUUCAUCAGAUCUUGGACAUCUGAUGAAGCAACUUCAUUUAAUUUUUUAAGUUCCUUCCGGCAAGACUCCAUGGGUGGAGCAAAUGGCUAAAUGCAUAGUAGUCUAAAGUCACGUUAGGGUUUCACUUAGAAACCUCCGACGUGGAGUUGGCCUCAUUUAGUAGGUUGAGGUCCAAAGUGUACUUUGGAGUCACAUAGAUAAACUUUGUCUUCAGCUGUGUGAUAACUACCACUGUGCAACAGAUUCCCAUCAGUGACUUUGACUUGACUUGCUCAGUCUGCCAAACCUUACGCCUUAGUCAAUAAAGUAACAAAUUAAUGAAUUAUUCAGAAGGUAACUCCUCCCCAACCCAAUUAAAGCCUUUAAUACAGGCGUAGCUCACAAACCAAGCCUGCAGCAAAACAGCCCCUGUCUUGAACGUCAUCUGUAAGCAGCAUGAGGACUCUCCAGGAAAAAAUUAUCAUCCUUUCUGUUUUUCUGUCUUUGUUAUGUGUCGUUCAGGUUCAUUCAAUGCCUGUGCCUGACGAGUGGCAUGGCUUAAUUCAGCGAACCAAACGUUCACUGUUGUGGCGCUGGAACAGUCUGAAGCCAGUCGGUGCCAGCUGCAGGGAUCACCUAGAGUGUGGCACAAAAUACUGCAGGAAAAAUAUCUGUUCUUUCUGGAUCACCACCUGAAAAAGAGAUGCACAAACACCAUCAGAAUCUACAACAGACAUCUGCUUUAUGGACCACAACUGCCUGUUUUGUUUUGUUUUCAAAAACCUGCUCGCUCCUUUAUUCUGGCUCCAACAUUCAUUUUGAGCAAUCAGAUCUUUUUCCACCGCGCUGUGUCAAAAACAAAGCUGUAAAAUCCAGGCAUGCAUAACCAAUCAAAUGGCGCCACCUUAAGUGAUUUGUCUAAACGCUGCUGCAACAUCACACAAGCUGUGUAAUCUGAAUGUGUUUUAUAAGAAAAUAUAAAUAUCCAUGCAAAGUUUGAGCCGCUCUGGGUUUAUUGGUUCAAGGUUGUUGCUGUUGUUUUUGUUUUUUUUAAAGAGAUUUUUU